GUUAAUUGAAAUAACUUAAACUAUCUAGAAGUCAACUAUUUAGGGCCUAAAACACGUUUGAGAUAAGUCACUUAACAAACAAAAAUGGGAUAAUCAGAAUAUUGUUUAUUACAAGCAUACGUAAGGAGUUCACCAACUAGGUUGCCAUGUAUGAAUGUUUAGUUAUCCAUUAGCUACCUACAAGAUUCUAGCAAAGGAAAUUAACUAUUCUAUAUACAACAACUAUUCAAUAUACAUACUAAAAAAUGAAUUCGAAAAUAGCUUCAGCACUGUAUUCAUGCUUCAAAUUUCAGAUUACAAGGUUUCGCAAAUCAGUUGUCUACCUGAUAUUUGGAAAGCAAAGAAGGAAAGGAAUAUCAGUAGUGCAGCAGUAUACACACAGCAAUAGCAACAACACCAAUGGAUCAAGGAUGCAAAAGCCCAGAACCGGAUUUGAAAACCCAACAGACCAACUCCAACAACAAACAGAGGAACAGUAUCCCGACAACCAACCAACUUGCGAAGAAACCAAAUGAAGACCCAGAAAUGACUAAUAGCAAUCACAAGUAGAAAACACAAUGAACCAAAACCAGUGGAAUAGAAGAACAGUUAUGAUUCUUUAUCCCAAAGAAAGACCUCCCCUCUUUUUAGUUUCUUUUUUAAUCUUUAAACUCUCAACUUCAAAUUCUGAUUCAUAAUUCAGUCCUAAUCUCUCAAUUUCUGUUUCAAAAAUCGGUCUAUAUUUUUCACUCAAUGCCCUCUCUAAUUCCUUAUAAAUUUUCCAUCCCUCAUUACUCUUUAUUUCUAUGUAUUUAUCGUAACUCCUAAACCUACCCUUUUUGAAAAACUACACCACCUGACCUCCAAAAUAACAAAAGUCUGCCUACCCAUUUUGAAAAACUUAACCAAAGGCGCUUUCCCUUAAUUUCCUACUUAAUUCAAGGCACAUAUUAAGGCUUGACUAACAGACCAUUAACAUAGUCAAUUCUGCCAACUUUUCAUUCCCUAAAUAUCCCUAAAAACUGCUAUUGUUAUUACUUCCCUGUUAAAUCCCAAUAUUACUCCCAUAACCCCUUGUUAUUACAUGUAUUACCCUAAGCCUUACUAGUCAGACAUUACAACUAUAUAAGUUCAAACCUAAAACUAGUUUCUGGUUAAAUUCUAACCUAACUACAGCUAUAUCCAAUUCACAACUUAAAAUCGCACCAAUUAAUUCAAUAGAAAGUAUUCUGUAUACUGAAUCAGAAAAAAUUAACCUUUGUAAUUUUCAGGCAUAUUCCAAUGACGACACUCAUUCAAUUGACUAUAUAGACUACAAUGCACAAUAAUUAUUGACAAACAAUCAAUAGAAAAAUCUACAUAUGAUUGGGCAGUAUUUUACAGAAAUAUUGGAUUACAAUACCAUAAACUAUUCGACAACAUUAAUCGACUCGAUUACACACAAUUUAAUAAAUGAACAGAAUCAAGCAAGCAUACAGGUAAUUUUAAUUGGCAUUUGAUAGAAAUUAAAAUGAAACCUAAUUACAACAUCAAUCAACUUGAAUACGUAUUUUUAAUACGACUACAAUUAACAAUUAUUGACAAACAAUCAACAGGAAAAACAAUCUACAUAUGAUUGGGCAGUAUUUUAAAGAAAUAUUGGAUUACAAUACCAUAAACUAUUCGACAACAUUAAUCGACUCGAUUACACACAAUUUAAUAACCGAAUAGAAUCAAGAAAGCAUACAGGUAUUUUCAAUUGGCAUUUGACAAAAUUCAAGGAAUUACAAUGAAACCUAAAUUACAACAUCAAUCAAUUUGAAUACAUAUUUUUAAUACGACUACAAUUAACAACAAACAGAAGAAAUGAUUGACCAAAUAAAAGGUCUUAGUGAGAUGAACAGAAUUACUAGAAAAAAUGAUAGAAAAAUCACACAAAUUAAACUGUCAUGCCAACGAACGUAAAUAAAUCACAGAUAAGAGAGAAAGAAAGAAAAUACCUCGAAAGCUUAUGAAAAUAGAGGACCCGGAUUUGGAUCGGACUUAACCUCUUGGAGGUCGAACGGACCUUAAUCGAAGUGUUCUCAACUGAGAACACCUCAAUUAAGGUCUAUAAUACCCCAACCCUUCGUUUAAUUGGACAGAACCCAAGAUUCUGGAUUUCUAGGGUUCAUAUAGCCGAUUUGGGGCUCGGGGUUUUCUUGGUAUAUUCGAACCAAACCAAGCUUGGUUUGGUUACGAGUGACGUCAGGGGAGUGUUUGGUUCAAGUUUGGGGUCGAUUGGCAUGGGUUGAGUUUGGACUCGAAUCUUCGGAUGAAGAUUCGAGAGGUUAGGGCUUGACUCGAGAGAUAUCGCUAGGUUAGUCGUGUUUGGGGUGAAGAGGUGGUCAUGUGGGAUGAAGGAGAUGAUCGGCGGCGUAGUUACCGCCGGGUUUCUUGUGUAAAUCGCCUUAUGGCGACAACGGUUUCAGGGCUCUGAUCUCUGAGGGUUUGAGAUGGAAAUGAAGAAUGAGGAGGGCAGGGUGCCUUUGGGGGGUGCGGGGUGAGACAAGAGGGAUUAUAUAUGAGGUGGGGAGAUGAAUCUUGGUCGU
rnacentral:lncRNA from 1 species